GUGGGGAAUAUUGGACAAUGGGCGAAAGCCUGAUCCAGCCAUGCCGCGUGUGUGAAGAAGGUCUUCGGAUUGUAAAGCACUUUAAGUUGGGAGGAAGGGUAGUAACCUAAUACGUUGCUACUUUGACGUUACCGACAGAAUAAGCACCGGCUAACUUCGUGCCAGCAGCCGCGGUAAUACGAAGGGUGCGAGCGUUAAUCGGAAUUACUGGGCGUAAAGCGCGCGUAGGUGGUUCAGUAAGUUGGAAGUGAAAUCCCCGGGCUCAACCUGGGAACUGCUUUCAAAACUGCUGAGCUAGAGUACGGUAGAGGGUGGUGGAAUUUCCUGUGUAGCGGUGAAAUGCGUAGAUAUAGGAAGGAACACCAGUGGCGAAGGCGACCACCUGGACUGAUACUGACACUGAGGUGCGAAAGCGUGGGGAGCAAACAGGAUUAGAAACCCGAGUAGUCC
rnacentral:rRNA from 1 species